UACGUAGGGGGCGAGCGUUGUCCGGAGUUACUGGGCGUAAAGCGUGCGCAGGCGGUUUUGUAAGCCAGAUGUGAAAUCCCCGGGCUUAACCUGGGAACUGCAUUUGGGACUGCAAGGCUUGAGUGCGGCAGAGGAGACUGGAAUUCCUGGUGUAGCAGUGAAAUGCGUAGAUAUCAGGAGGAAUACCGAUGGCGAAGGCAGGUCUCUGGGCUGACACUGACGCUCAUGCACGAAAGCGUGGGGAGCAAACAGG
rnacentral:rRNA from 1 species